CACAACCUGCAGACUUUCCCCUUCUAUUCUUCCUUUUUGUCUUUUCAGCCUCACAAUCCACCUGCUUCGCCGUCUUCUACUGUUCUCUGUCAUUGCAAGCUUCAUCCAUACACCUCUUCCACUCCCUUUCAUAUUUCCACGUUUCCUCUCUUCUCUUUCUGCAACAAACCCUAAUUUUUAGAUUUUGUAUUCCACAAACUCCAUCCUAAAGUUCAGACCUGUCCAUAACCACAAAUUUUUACAUCCUUUCUAUCUUCCUCUCUCAUGAAGAUUUGGAGAUGAAAAUGCUUAUCGAUGUGCGAUUCAGAUUUUCGUUUCAAAACUCCUUCUUCGACGACGCCGCUUCGUAUGGGGUUCUCUGAUCGGAAGUUGCAUAUGUGAUUCUGCCACAGUUAAUCAUUCUACAACAAAGUAACGGUCUUGAGCGCUUAUUCCUAUGCAAAACCAAGGACGACCUACGCAAAGAUGCUCACAUGAUGAAGUUCACAUCCGUUUUUAAUUGACUAUUAUCCAUAUGUCUUGAAAGUCGUAGAAGAAAGCUAUAUAUUCACACUUUUGCUAUGAUUCCUCUAACAUAUUUGCAAUUUUUUAUUCAUUAGCAUUGUGAGAGGUAUAUAUUUUUUAUCCAUCACUUAUCUUUACAUAUUUGUUUUCUCAGGUGUAUUUGAAUC